ensembl:snoRNA
AGUCUCUUUUCUUUGACUUUGGUGUUCAGAAAUAGAUGUGGCUACAUUGAUACAGGUUAAGCUUCUACCACAGCAUCUAUUGCAUUGGUGACAAUGAGGCCUGCAACAUGU